AGUCUUAUAGUUUAAUUAAAACAUUAAAUUGCAAAUUUAAAAAUAAAAUUUUUUUAAGGCUU
rnacentral:tRNA from 1 species